AACGAACGCUGGCGGCAGGCCUAACACAUGCAAGUCGAGCGAGGACUUCGGUUCUAGCGGCGGACGGGUGAGUAACGCGUGGGAAUGUGCCCUUCUCUACGGAAUAGCCCUGGGAAACUGGGAGUAAUACCGUAUACGCCCUUUUGGGGAAAGAUUUAUCGGAGAAGGAUCAGCCCGCGUUGGAUUAGGUAGUUGGUGGGGUAAUGGCCUACCAAGCCGACGAUCCAUAGCUGGUUUGAGAGGAUGAUCAGCCACACUGGGACUGAGACACGGCCCAGACUCCUACGGGAGGCAGCAGUGGGGAAUCUUAGACAAUGGGGGCAACCCUGAUCUAGCCAUGCGGCGUGAGUGAUGAAGGCCUUAGGGUUGUAAAGCUCUUUCAGCUGGGAAGAUAAUGACGGUACCAGCAGAAGAAGCCCCGGCUAACUCCGUG
rnacentral:rRNA from 1 species